UAAAAGGCUAUGACGGGAAAAAGUAACAUUGGUUUUUCUCUAAAGAGAGUCCUCGGCCGGUGGAAGAGGAUGAGAGUCUGAUGUGAAAUACAUCCUAUCAGCCGUAUUUUUGAACCAGGGCAUCAAGUCUUGCAGUAGGAAAUGACGGGUUGCGCUCGUUAUUGCGCAAGGGUUUUUUUGAACUCGUUAAGGUCUUUAUCUGUGAAGAUAAGGAUGCAUUGAGGUGGUACCACGGGAAUUUCUCGUCCUCUGC
rnacentral:ncRNA from 1 species